GAUGAACGCUGGCGGCGUGCUUAAUACAUGCAAGUCGAGCGAACGGACGCGGCGCUUGCUUUUCUGACGUUAGCGGCGGACGGGUGUGUAACACGUGUAUAAUCCACCUAUAAGACUGGGAUAACUUCGGGAAACCGGCUCUAAUACCGGAUAAUCUCUUGAACCGCAUGGUUCAGAAGUGAAAUACGGUCUUGCUGGCACGUAUAGAUGGAUCUGGGCUGCAUUAGCUAGUUGGUAAGUUAACGGCUUACUAAGGCAACGAUGCAUAGCCGAAGUGAGAGGGUGAUAGGCGACACUGGAGCGGGACCGGGGUCAAGGCUCCUGCGGGAGGCAGCAGUAGGGAAUCGGCCGCAACGGGGGAGAGCCUGACGGAGCAACGCGGCGUGAGUGAUGGAGGUCUUCGGAUCGUAAAACUCUGUUAUUAGGGAAGAACAUAUGUGUCAGUAACUGAGCAGAUCUUGACGGUACUGAAUCAGAAAGCCACGGCUAACUACGUG
rnacentral:rRNA from 1 species